rnacentral:rRNA from 1 species
UACGUAGGUGACAAGCGUUGUCCGGAUUUACUGGGCGUAAAGAGCGCGCAGGCGGUCGAUCAAGUCGAGUGUGAAAGCCCCCGGCUCAACUGGGGAGGGUCAUUCGAUACUGAUCGACUCGAAGGCAGGAGAGGGUAGUGGAAUUCCCGGUGUAGUGGUGAAAUGCGUAGAUAUCGGGAGGAACACCAGUGGCGAAGGCGACUACCUGGCCUGUUCUUGACGCUGAGGAGCGAAAGUGUGGGGAGCGAACAGG